CUUUAGUUAACGUGCUUACUCGGUCGACAGAUCAUCGAUAAGCGGUUUGGGAUUUUUGAAGCAAAAUCAAACCUUAAAGAGUCUGACGCCAGCUCUGGACCGAUAUGAGUGUGGGGCUGCCAUGGAAACCAUCACCCUGCAGAAAUCCAGAGUCAGCUACAUCCUGCCUGCAAAUCGUUAAAGGCAUCACCUGUUCGAGUCGAGAAUUGCAACGAUUUCAUCAACACAGUGUUCCUUCCGUCCUGUGCCCUAUACUGGCCUGAAGAGUACGGGUACACAGUGGAGUACGGUCCCCUGAGUAUUGAGCUGUUGUUCUCAUCAGAAGCAGACGCCAACAUUACUGUGAGGACAUUCAAGUUGACACACAGGACAAAGGGAGAGGACCGUGCUGUGAAGCAGUUCCAGUUCAACACGUUGCCAGACUACAAGAGUGUCCCAGUGAGGACGUCCAGUCUGCUGCGGCUCACUGAUGCUGUGCUGGAGUGGAUGAGACAGAACGGCAAGGGACCUGUCACCGUACACUGCAUGUUCAUUGCUGAUGGAAAGAACAGGGAGAGGUUCUUGCUUGAACAGUAACUGGCCAUCAGUUGACUUGAUAAUAAGUGCACAAGACACUGCCAUUGCCCAUGAAAAGGCCAGAAGCCCAGGAGAUAGGAACCUCUGACACACACAAGUUCCGGAUCCAGAGCAUCU